rnacentral:tRNA from 1 species
GGAAGGUUCGGGCACGCGGCAGGCCCACCCCGCUCGAAACGGGACAGGCGUCACCAGACGCCUUGGGAGUUCGACUCUCCCACCUUCCUCCA